AUGACAGUAGUAAUCUUUCACGAUGUAGAUAAGAGAAUCAUAUCAUCUUCUGUCAAAGGAUGAACAUCUUAGAGAUAAAUUCCAUUUUUCUCACAAAAUUUAUUAUUUUGAUCGAUUACGUGAAUGGCAGACGUAGUGGAUUACAGUAUUUUUAAAAUAACUUUUGCAAAAUUAAUUGUAAUACAACUUUCCAUGUACAAACAUAACUGUUACGUUCUUGCUGUUCGUAUUAUAUUAUCAAUUUUUACUAAAUAUCUUUAACCAUAGAAUAACAAACACUAGAAAUACAACUCGUCCAAGAUAUUGAUAACAAAAAUCAUUUAUCAGACAAUUCCUGAUAUCAAUAAUACGAUGCUCCACUUUCAUCUGCACAUAGUGAAACAGCAUUGAACAGGAGAAAGUUUUUAAUUUUGCUUUACAGGAAAGAGACUUCCAUUUUUCUCCAUUAGAUUCCAGAAAGUUUACGUAAACAUCAUUAAAUCUCCAGGAGCCAUACAGACUGCGAAAAAUAGUUUUAGCAGCAUUGUAAAGCGUUAUAGCGAUCACUUAAGAACUAGAAGUUGAGUCAGCUCAAAAAAAUGAUAAUUAAAAAUAUAACAUUUUAGGAAACCAUGGGUGGCCAGCGCUAUUGAAUACCGUGGACUAACUCCAUCUAGUUACCUCUGGCUCAAGCUUCUAUUAUUAUUCCAUUAUCCUCGGUAUGACUGCUGCACGGGAAACUUCCGUGAAUGUAACGUAAACUUUAGAACAAUGUGUAUGUUGGUAAUAUUUCACAGACUUACAAGCUUUCCAGAGGAAAAGAGGGAUUUGUAGAUCGGUGUCGAGUGUCCAAGUUCGCCAUUGGUAUAAUAACACGACCUUGUUAAUGCCAUACUAUAGAUAUACUAUUGCUAUGCUGACGCAAUAAGACUACUUACGUCAGACUAUAUUAUUAUUUAGUGUCACAUAAAUUAUCAUAGGACAAAACUCUUGUGAAUGAUGUUAAUAAUAUUCAAAUAAUGAGUAACGAGCCAAUAGUGGAAUUAAAAAUGUGUUUUUACAACCGAAAUGUAUAACGGAUAAUUAUCGACAUGUAUAAAAAUACUCAGUAUGAUUAGAGUAGUCACCGGUCGCUCUUGUCAUUCUAAAUGUAUGCAUAUGAAAUAUUUCCUAAAAUCUCAAGAUCAGGUCUUAAUGUAUAUGUUUAAAGACAAGUUUAGUUAAACCCAGCUAUUUUUAAUUGUAAACAAUUUAUGGAAUGUAAUUGACGAAUUUCAAGUUUAAAUUUAAUUCGCAAAAUUGGGACUGUAUUAUUGUUCAGUACAAUUACCAGCUAACGAGUGGAAAAAGUUAUUGUUUAAAAAAUAAUGUGUAUAUAUUCUUUUGGUGUACGAUUUUGAGACAAUUAAAACAGGCUUAUGAAUUUAUUAAUUACUUAUUAAAUUUUAAUUUGACUGCUGAUCGCUAUCCCGGUGGUUUCCCUAACAGAGUGACCAUUAUUGCCGUAUACAAAUGAUCAAAGAAGUAUUUUGGCAUUAUCAAAAAAGUUUGCUGGCUAAUCGCAUAAAUAUAACACAGCACCAUGAUAUUGCGCUUACGAAACAUCAUGCUAUUAAUUCGGUGAGUAACUUCGCUUAUAAACUCUAGGGUCGAACUCCGAUAAUUAUAAUUUAAAAGCACUUAUCGUAUCAGUUGCAGAAAACAAAAUAUGCGAUCCCUUUAAGACGAUAUAAUUUAUCUUGUUGAAUAAAUGAAAUCAGGCAAUCAUUAAAAUACAUUAAAAUAGAAGACUGCAAAUUUUCAAGCAUUAACUGCAAUUGAUAUGCAAAACUGGUAUUGAGCAUUACGUUCACGGCCAGUAGUUUGUUUCGCCUUGAUGGGUAUGCUCUUGAACUAAUGAAAGAUAUUCAUGUGUUCAUUCACCCUGUAUAGUCAUACUCUCAAGUCAUACUCGUUUUGAAAUUUACAGGAAUUGGCGUUAUCAAGGACCUAUAGUUCGUCCGUGAUAACAUCCCUGUAGUAAAGGAUGAAAUUGAUUUAUUUAACUGUGACCACAUUUUUAAUCAGAGUAUACUAUACUGCUCAGGUCAAAAUAGCUUAGUAAUGAUAUUACAUAUUUAAUAUUUAUGAAUAAUUUAUAUUAUUUUUAUAGACAGAAAUAUUAUAUGACAAAAAAGAGUAUAUUAAUUUGAAUGUCUGGUUUUUAUUAGUUUUAAAAGUUUCUAACAGUUGCAGGUCACGUAGAUACGAGAUCGUCAUUUGUUUCACACAUGUAUAAUUUUGGAAAAACAUUUUUUGAAAUUUAUUAAAAAUUUUUCGUACGAGUAAGAUCAAAAUUUGAGCCCGAUCGAUUUUAAUUAAUAAUAUACAAUCUACUCCAAACAAAUAAUUCAUUAGAAAUAAGUUGCUGUAUAUGGCGAUAUUCGACUGGAACAGUAUCAAUAAAAUAUUCGCACUCUUUGCAGUAACUGCACAUGCAGCCAUUUGUACUUAUACAAAUGUCAUAAAAAUGUCUAAAUUUGGAACAGAAUACUAAUAGAAGAUACUUCGGAACUGCAUGCUAUAUCUUCGAAGCUGAAAGAAUCUUAAAAGAAGAGAUAUCCAGGAGGCAACAAACAAAAUGGAGACUUAUCCAAAGCAAGCGCCAGCUUCAAAUAUAUCAAUCGUAAAGGACGAUAAAAGUGAACCGAACAGAUUGCAAGUUCCUUUGGAACUGAAAGCUAGCGGGGAAAAGAUUGCAAAAACAUCCGAAGAGUCUGGACAUAUCUCAAAUAGAUCAAAAGACAGCAAAGAGCCAAGUGUCUGUGACGAGGAACCUUUCAUCCUGAAAUUAUUUAGAAGUCUAACCGGUUCCGAGGUGGUACAGAGUAAAAAAAAUUUUUUUCAAAAACGUCAAGAGUGAUGCACCAUAAUAAAAGGCAUUUUCAUCGAUGGAGCAGUGUAUAUUCCUCGUGAUUUAAUUACAGCAAUAUAUGUGUAUAGCCACUGCAUUACGAUAGAUGGCUAUAUGUACAAAGCAUAUAUUAAAAUGUCAUACAGACUCUGCUUCAUCUACUGCAUUAUAAUAUUCAAGAAUAACGGAAGACAAUUUUCGAGUUCGAAGCGUCUCCUGCCCUGAACUUUGCUCCGAUACAUUAUUCAGAAGAAUGAAUAAACGCAUGAACGUCGACCGAACACGUAAAGAAGAAACAGUCCGGGAUACCUAAAUACCCUAAGUUCAUAAAAGAUACAAUUUAAAAAGAUUUGCUGCAUUCUGAUGAAUCCAGAUAAAAUAUCUAUAACUAUCUAUCCACAUCACAGGGUGAUAAACAUUAAAAAAUGAAAAAAGAUGCAUUAACGUCGAAGACGUACUAUAUCUAUAUACUAUUGUAAUAUCUAAUAUGAUAUUAAGUGAAUUUAUAUGGGACAUAAAAAACGCAAUGUGACGGAUAAUCGUAGAAAUUCUAUAUACAGAAAGAAUUUAUUGAAGAAUUUUCGACAGUAGCGUAGACUGACUGCCUGUAAAUUUGGUAGAUCCUACGCCACUGUUGCACGUAGAAAACCUGUUACACGUGCAGCAGCUUCAUAUGUAUAUGCUUUGUCAAAGUUUAGGGGCGAAUUAGUAGAAGAACGUGUCAAAAAUUCAAGAAAAUCAGUCUCCUCGUUAAUUAUAUUCCUGAAUUUUCCAUCAAAAGUAACUGGUUCGACAAAAUGUAUGGGAGCCAUUAAAUUCAUUUCUAACACUGGCCUUCAACUCACCACACGA